rnacentral:rRNA from 1 species
AUACGUAGGUGGCGAGCGUUGUCCGGAAUUACUGGGUGUAAAGGGAGCGUAGGCGGGUACGCAAGUUGAAUGUGAAAACUAACGGCUCAACCGAUAGUUGCGUUCAAAACUGCGGAUCUUGAGUGAAGUAGAGGCAGGCGGAAUUCCUAGUGUAGCGGUAAAAUGCGUAGAUAUUAGGAGGAACACCAGUGGCGAAGGCGGCUUACUGGACUGUAACUGACGUUGAGGCUCGAAAGCGUGGGGAGC